ACGGUCCUAAGGUAGCGAAAUUCCUUGUCAGGUAAGUUCUGACCCGCACGAAAGGCGUAACGAUUUGGGCGCUGUCUCAGCUGUAGACUCGGUGAAGUCUUAGUACCUGUGAAGAUGCAGGUUACCCGCGACUAGACGGAAAGACCCCAUGGAGCUUCACUGCAGGUUGAUAUUGGGAUUUGAUGCAGCAUGUACAGGAUAGGUAGGAGGCAAAGAGAUGGAUACGCCAGUAUUCAAGGAGCCGCUGUUGGGAUACUACCCCUGUUGUAUUGGAUUUCUAACCGGACGACGUAGAGCCGUUGACGGGACAGUGUCAGUCGGGCAGUUUGACUGGGGCGGUCGCCUCCCAAAGAGUAACGGAGGCGCCCAAAGAUACCCUCAGCUUGGAUGGAAACCAAGCGCAGAGUGCAAAGGCAAAAGGGUGUUUGACUGCGAGACCCACAAGUCGAGCAGGGACGAAAGUCGGGCUUAGUGAUCCGGCGGUGCUGAAUGGAAAGGCCGUCGCUCAACGGAUAAAAGCUACCCUGGGGAUAACAGGCUGAUCUCCCCCAAGAGUUCACAUCGACGGGGAGGUUUGGCACCUCGAUGUCGGCUCAUCGCAUCCUGGGGCUGAAGUAGGUCCCAAGGGUUGGGCUGUUCGCCCAUUAAAGCGGUACGCGAGCUGGGUUCAGAACGUCGUGAGACAGUUCGGUCCCUAUCUGUCGUGGGCGCAGGAAAUUUGAGAAGAGCUGUCCUCAGUACGAGAGGACCGGGAUGGACGCAUCAAUGGUGGACCAGUUGUCACGCCAGUGGCAUAGCUGGGUAGCUAAAUGCGGAAGGGAUAAACGCUGAAGGCAUCUAAGUGUGAAACCCACUUCAAGAUGAGAUUUCCCAUUGCGCAAGCAAGUAAGACCCCUUAAAGACGAUAAGGUAGAUAGGCCAGGGAUGGAAGUGCAGUGAUGUACGGAGUUGACUGGUACUAAUCGGUCGAGGACUUAAUCAG
rnacentral:rRNA from 1 species